UCUCCGUAGGUGAACCUGCGGAGGGAUCAUUACUGAGUGAGGGCUUCGGUCCGACCUCCAACCCUUUGUGAACCAAACUUGUUGCUUCGGGGGCGACCCGGCCUUCGGGCGUCGGGGCCCCCGGCGGACCACUCAACUCUGCAUCUUUGCGUCUGAGUCUUAUAUAUGAAUUAAAUCAAAACUUUCAACAACGGAUCUCUUGGUUCUGGCAUCGAUGAAGAACGCAGC
rnacentral:misc_RNA from 1 species